CGCGGGCUGCAGGGAGCCAUGAGGACGGCCAGCGGGGCCCUGGGCAUGGACAGCGCCGGGCGGACACGGGAGGCCUACAUGGAAUACCUGAAGAGCAUCACCCUCAUCAUGCAGGCCCUGCAGGAAGAGGCGGUGGGGACAGAGAGCAGUGAGGGUGUCACACCCGACACCCCGAAGUUGCUGAAGCUGGCAGAGCAGUGCCUGGAGAGGGUCAAAUCCAUUGCAGCAGUGCUGGGGAAAGCCCAGGUGAAACCGGCUGUGCAGGAGAGGGGAGGGGGCCCUGCCCCCCUGCCCAGGCACCGCCGGGUCUGCUCAGACGAGGGGGGGAAGCUCUCGCCCUUCCUGCCCCCGGAGAUCUUCCAGAAGCUGCAGAUUGCGGAGGCACAGAGCGCUCGGAAGGAGCUGACCCCGCUGGAAGAGGCCUCUCUGCAGAACCAGAAGCUGAAGGNNGCCUAUGAGGCACGGGUGGCACGGCUGAACCCCAGCCAGGCCCUGCAGAAAACAUCCCUGACACUGUCCCUGCAGCGGCAGAUGAUGGAGAACCUGGUGAUUGCCAAGGCCCGGGAGGAGACUCUGCAGCGCAAGAUGGAGGAGCGGCGGCUGCGGCUGCAGGAGGCAGCAAACCGGAGGUUCUCCAGCAAUGUGGCCCUCACCCCUGAGGAGCAGGAGCAGCGAGAGCUCUACGCUGCCAUCCUCGAAUACGAGCAGGACCAUGACUGGCCCAGGCAGUGGAAGGCCCAGCUGAAGGGGAGCCCAGCGGAUCUCUCCGUGGUGUCAGGGCUCUUCUCCUGCCUCCUCAGCUCUCCCGAGCACCCGAUCUCGCAGCUCCUGCGGCGGCUGCAGUGCACGGUGUACGCCCGCCUGUACCCUGCUGUCAGCCAGGGUCCCGCUGACGCCUCCCCCGCCUCCCCCUCGGGCCUCUCCUUCCUGUCACUGGAUGUGGGGGGCGCAGGGGGCUCCUCCCUGCCUGCUGAGCCGGGGGGUCGCCGGCUCCGCGCCUCCCGCAGCCUACACUGCAUGUUCUCGGUGCCUGAGCACGGCCCGGCUGCGCUGCGGCACAGCCAGUCCAGCACCCCCCUCGCUGACGCUGGCACCCUGGGGCCCGCAGGGGCCCCCCAGGCCCCCCGGGAGAGCUCCUUUGAGGACCUGGAGCGGUUCCUGGCAUCCCCCGAGGGCUGGGCCCCUGCAGAGCCCCUGGCUGGCCCUGGGCAGGACACGGCGCUGCCAGAGCUGCUGAAGGGCAUUGUGAGGGACAUCCACAACGCCAUUGACAGGCUGCUGGCCCUGACCCUGCUGGCCUUCGAGGGGCUCAGUACCACCGCCAGCAAGGACCAGUGCCUGGCCUGCCUGGAGGAGGCCUUCUUUCCCCCGCUCUGGGCCCCGCUCCUGGCCCUCUACAGGGCCGUGCACCGGCCCCGUGAGGCGGCCCUGGCACUCAGCAUGGAGCGGCACCGGCAUGCCAGCCCCGCCGACAUGGGGCUGGCCUCCCGCCUCUUCCCCACGGCCCCCGGCCGCCCCCCCUACGCCUCCGCAGUGCAGGACCUGCGGCUCAUCCCGCUGGAGACCUGUCCCCGCAGAAAGCUGGAGUGCAUCGUGCGAGCCCUGCGUGGCAUCUGCGAGUGUGCUGAGGAGUACUGCGGUGCCCGGGACACCCGGACCCCUGCCUCGGCCGCCAUUGGGGCAGAUGACCUGCUGCCCAUCCUGUCCUACGUGGUGCUGCAGACAGGGCUGCCCCAGUUGCUCUCCGAGUGUGCUGCCCUGGAGGAGUUCAUCCACGAGGGGUACCUGAUCGGGGAGGAGGGGUACUGCCUGACGUCCCUGCAGAGCGCCCUGUCCUACGUGGAGUCCCUGCAGUGAGGAGGGGGCAGCGGGGGACCCCCGACACCGCCGGGCAGGUGCUGACCGCCCCCGGGAUGUGUGCGGGCUCGGCGAUGCGGCAGGAGCACAGGCAGGAGUACGGGCAGGAGUUCCGGCAGGAGUUCCACCAGGAGUACCGGCGGUGCCUGGAGCAGGAAUUCGGCCCCGCCGGGCCCUGCCCGGACCCCGCGGUGG